GGGUUGCUGGAGGUAUCAGAAGUGCGAAUGCUGACAUAAGUAACGAUAAAGCGGGUGAAAAGCCCGCUCGCCGGAAGACCAAGGGUUCCUGUCCAACGUUAAUCGGGGCAGGGUGAGUCGACCCCUAAGGCGAGGCCGAAAGGCGUAGUCGAUGGGAAACGGGUUAAUAUUCCCGUACUUGGUGUUACUGCGAAGGGGGGACGGAGAAGGCUAUGUUGGCCGGGCGACGGUUGUCCCGGUUUAAGCGUGUAGGUGUGUGUUCCAGGUAAAUCCGGUU
rnacentral:rRNA from 1 species